rnacentral:tRNA from 1 species
GCCAGUGUGGUGUAGUGGUUUGAGUGUUGAAUUGUAACUCUGGAGACCAGGGUUCAAUUCCCAGCUCAGCCA